CAGCACGCCGCGUGAGGGACGACGGCCUUCGGGUUGUAAACCUCUUUUAGCAGGGAAGAAGCGAAAGUGACGGUACCUGCAGAAAAAGCACCGGCUAACUACGUGCCAGCAGCCGCGGUAAUACGUAGGGUGCAAGCGUUGUCCGGAAUUAUUGGGCGUAAAGAGCUCGUAGGCGGUUUGUCGCGUCUGCUGUGAAAUCCCGAGGCUCAACCUCGGGUCUGCAGUGGGUACGGGCAGACUAGAGUGCGGUAGGGGAGAUUGGAAUUCCUGGUGUAGCGGUGGAAUGCGCAGAUAUCAGGAGGAACACCGAUGGCGAAGGCAGAUCUCUGGGCCGCUACUGACGCUGAGGAGCGAAAGGGUGGGGAGCAAACAGGCUUAGAUACCCUGGUAGUCCACCCCGUAAACGUUGGGCGCUAGAUGUGGGGACCAUUCCACGGUUUCCGUGUCGUAGCUAACGCAUUAAGCGCCCCGCCUGGGGAGUACGGCCGCAAGGCUAAAACUCAAAGGAAUUGACGGGGGCCCGCACAAGCGGCGGAGCAUGCGGAUUAAUUCGAUGCAACGCGAAGAACCUUACCAAGGCUUGACAUAUACGAGAACGGGCCAGAAAUGGUCAACUCUUUGGACACUCGUAAACAGGUGGUGCAUGGUUGUCGUCAGCUCGUGUCGUGAGAUGUUGGGUUAAGUCCCGCAACGAGCGCAACCCUCGUUCUAUGUUGCCAGCACGUUAUGGUGGGAACUCAUGGGAUACUGCCGGGGUCAACUCG
rnacentral:rRNA from 1 species